AACUAUAGCCCAAGUCUCAAUCAAACUAUAGCCCAAGUCUCAAUCAAACUAUAGCCCAAGUCUCAAUCAAACUAUAGCCCAGGUCUCAAUCAAACUAUAGCCCAAGUUGAAUUGGAGGUGCCACUCAGAAGAUGUUUCAUUUCUGGUUAAGUGAGGUAUUUUUGGGAUCGGGAAAGCAACUCUUGUUGGAGAAAGAGAGAGACCGGAAAGAAACUUCAGAGAGUGAAAGACAAAGAGGGGACUGUAAGAGAGCAACAGUGAUUGUAGGAGAGGUGUGUAUAGAGGUAGUAGAUAACAGUGAUUGUAGGAGAGGUGUGUAUAGAGGUAGUAGAUAACAGUGAUUGUAGGAGAGGUGUGUGUGUAUAGAGGUAGUAGAUAACAGUGAUUGUAGGAGAGGUGUGUAUAGAGGUAGUAGAUAACAGUGAUUGUAGGAGAGGUGUGUAUAGAGGUAGUAGAUAACAGUGAUUGUAGGAGAGGUGUGUAUAGAUGUAGUAGAUAACAGUGAUUGUAGGAGAGGUGUGUAUAGAGGUAGUAGAUAACAGUGAUUGUAGGAGAGGUGUGUAUAGAGGUAGUAGAUAACAGUGAUUGUAGGAGAGGUGUGUAUAGAGGUAGUAGAUAACAGUGAUUGUAGGAGAGGUGUGUAUAGAGGUAGUACAUAACAGUGAUUGUAGGAGAGGUGUGUAUAGAGUGAGUAGAUAACAGUGAUUGUAGGAGAGGUGUGUAUAGAGGUAGUAGAUAACAGUGAUUGUAGGAGAGGUGUGUAUAGAGGUAGUAGAUAACAGUGAUUGUAGGAGAGGUGUGUAUAGAGGGAGUAGAUAACAGUGAUAGUAGGAGAGGUGUGUAUAGAGGUAGUAGAUAACAGUGAUUGUAGGAGAGAUGUGUAUAGAGGUAGUAGAUAACAGUGAUUGUAGGAGAGGUGUGUAUAGAGGUAGUAGAUAACAGUGAUUGUAGGAGAGGUGUGUAUAGAGGUAGUAGAUUACAGUGAUAGUAGGAGAGGUGUGUAUAGAGGUAGUAGAUAACAGUGAUUGUAGGAGAGGUGUGUAUAGAGGGAGUAGAUAACAGUGAUAGUAGGAGAGGUGUAUAGAGGUAGUCGAUAACAGUGAUUGUAGGAGAGGUGUGUAUAGAUGUAGUAGAUAACAGUGAUUGUAGGAGAGGUGUGUAUAGAGGUAGUAGAUAACAGUGAUUGUAGGAGAGGUGUGUAUAGAGGUAGUAGAUUACAGUGAUAGUAGGAGAGGUGUGUAUAGAGGUAGUAGAUAACAGUGAUUGUAGGAGAGGUGUGUAUAGAGGGAGUAGAUAACAGUGAUUGUAGGAGAGGUGUGUAUAGAGGUAGUAGAUAACAGUGAUUGUAGGAGAGGUGUGUAUAGAGGUAGUAGAUAACAGUGAUUGUAGGAGAGGUGUGUAUAGAGGUAGUAGAUAACAGUGAUAGUAGGAGAGGUGUGUAUAGAGGGAGUAGAUAACAGUGAUAGUAGGAGAGGUGUGUAUAGAGGUAGUAGAUAACAGUGAUAGUAGGAGAGGUGUGUAUAGAGGUAGUAGAUAACAGUGAUUGUAGGAGAGGUGUGUAUAGAGGUAGUAGAUAACAGUGAUUGUAGGAGAGGUGUGUAUAGAGGUAGUAGAUAACAGUGAUUGUAGGAGAGGUGUGUAUAGAGGGAGUAGAUAACAGUGAUUGUAGGAGAGGUGUAUAGAGGUAGUAGAUAACAGUGAUUGUAGGAGAGGUGUGUAUAGAGGGAGUAGAUAACAGUGAUUGUAGGAGAGGUGUGUAUAG